rnacentral:lncRNA from 1 species
CAAAAUGCAUGCUCCCAAUGCUUGAACACAAGUCAUAAAUGGAUGAACACAAUACCAAAGAAAUGCAUGCACUACUUCCAAAGUAAGUAUAAACCCACAUGCCUUACUUCCUAGAAACAACCAAGUUUAUAGGUCGUGCACAAUCUAUCCCCCAUGUUGGAGGGAACUUAAUUCCAGCAAUUCGAUGACAUAUCCCUUCAUCAAGUUUUAUAGCACUAACUCAUCAAUCAUGUCAAAUCAGUUAAGGGGCAUCCUUCCCAUCAUACAAGAUAUCGGUUAUAUAUGUUACAUGGACAUAGAAGUGGAUGCCAUGUCUAG